GAUGAACGCUGGCGGCGUGCCUAAUACAUGCAAGUCGAGCGAACAGACGAGGAGCUUGCUCCUCUGACGUUAGCGGCGGACGGGUGAGUAACACGUGGAUAACCUACCUAUAAGACUGGGAUAACUUCGGGAAACCGGAGCUAAUACCGGAUAAUAUAUUGAUCCGCAUGGUUCAAUAGUGAAAGACGGUUUUGCUGUCACUUAUAGAUGGAUCCGCGCCGCAUUAGCUAGUUGGUAAGGUAACGGCUUACCAAGGCAACGAUGCGUAGCCGACCUGAGAGGGUGAUCGGCCACACUGGAACUGAGACACGGUCCAGACUCCUACGGGAGGCAGCAGUAGGGAAUCUUCCGCAAUGGGCGAAAGCCUGACGGAGCAACGCCGCGUGAGUGAUGAAGGUCUUCGGAUCGUGAAACUCUGUUAUUAGGGAAGAACAAAUGUGUAAGUAACUAUGCACGUCUUGACGGUACCUAAUCAGAAAGCCACGGCUAACUACGUG
rnacentral:rRNA from 1 species